AAAUGAACACAUGUAUACAAAAGAAAUAUUUGAGAUUUCUCGAUGCACUUAACGGUCAGGCACAAUUAAGCAAUAUCUUCAAUACAAAUAUUUUAGUGCACUCACAACUUAUCUAUUUCAGAUUCUCCACAGGAGGUGUUUUACACUCCACUGACAGCUACAAGCACAGGAGACAAUGAUUGUGGAACUAUCACAGAAAAGAACCAAGCCAGUCUGGAGGAUAUAAUGAUGACUCCUGCUAUCAGAACCAGAAAACCUAAAGGGAAGCCUCUGAUCAAGAAAACAUCUAAUGAAGAAGACAUUCUGGGAGAGAUAAGGUCCUUACAAGCCCAGGAGGAGAGAAAGAUGUCUCUCCUUGAGGAAAUUCUGUCUGUGCAGCGGGACAUUCGUGACAUCCAAUGACAGAGC